GACGAACGCUGGCGGCGUGCUUAACACAUGCAAGUCGAACGGAAAGGCCCUGCGUUUGUGGGGUGCUCGAGUGGCGAACGGGGGAGUAACACGUGAGUAACCUGCCCUUGACUUUGGGAUAACUUCAGGAAACUGGGGCUAAUACCGGAGAGGAGCUCCUGCUGCAUGGUGGGGGUUGGAAAGUUUCGGCGGUUGGGGAUGGACUCGCGGCUUAUCAGCUUGUUGGUGGGGUAGGGGCUUACCAAGGCUUUGACGGGUAGCCGGCCUGAGAGGGUGACCGGCCACCUUGGGCCUGCGAGACGGCCCAGACGCCAACGGGCCGCAGCGGUGGGGAAUAUUGCACAAUGGGCGGAAGCCUGAUGCAGCAACGCCGCGUGCGGGAUGCCGUCCUUCGGGUUGUAAACCGCUUUCGCCUGUGCCGUAGCGUGAGUGACGGUAAUGGGUAAAGAAGCACCGGCUAACUACGUG
rnacentral:rRNA from 1 species